GUUCUCUCCGAAAUAGCUUUAGGGCUAGCCUCAAGUGAUGAUUAUUGGAGGUAGAGCACUGUUUGGACGAGGGGCCCCUCUCGGGUUACCGAAUUCAGACAAACUCCGAAUGCCAAUUAAUUUAACUUGGGAGUCAGAACAUGGGUGAUAAGGUCCGUGUUCGAAAGGGAAACAGCCCAGACCACCAGCUAAGGUCCCAAAAUAUAUGUUAAGUGGAAAAGGAUGUGGCGUUGCCCAGACAACUAGGAUGUUGGCUUAGAAGCAGCCAUCAUUUAAAGAGUGCGUAAUAGCUCACUAGUCGAGUGACACUGCGCCGAAAAUGUACCGGGGCUAAACAUAUUACCGAAGCUGUGGAUUGUCCUUUGGACAAUGGUAGGAGAGCGUUCUAAGGGCGUUGAAGCAUGAUCGUAAGGACAUGUGGAGCGCUUAGAAGUGAGAAUGCCGGUGUGAGUAGCGAAAGACGGGUGAGAAUCCCGUCCACCGAUUGACUAAGGUUUCCAGAGGAAGGCUCGUCCGCUCUGGGUUAGUCGGGUCCUAAGCUGAGGCCGACAGGCGUAGGCGAUGGAUAACAGGUUGAUAUUC
rnacentral:rRNA from 1 species